AGAUGAGAGAUACACCCGCCCGCAGGUGACUGCGGGCGGACUCCAGGCCGGGGCCUCCCCAGCUUCGACCUGGUCGUGCCCUGGCGCACACAACAGGAGCCUCAGGGCUCCGCAUCUCCUCACCGAUCGGA
rnacentral:ncRNA from 1 species